rnacentral:rRNA from 1 species
UACGUAGGGACCAAGCGUUGUUCGGAUUUACUGGGCGUAGAGGGCGCGUAGGCGGCGUGUUAAGUCAGCUGUGAAAUCUCCAAGCUUAACUUGGAACGGUCAGCUGAUACUGAUGUGCUAGAGUGCAGAAGGGGCAACCGGAAUUCUUGGUGUAGCGGUGAAAUGCGUAGAUAUCAAGAGGAACACCUGAGGUGAAGACGGGUUGCUGGGCUGACACUGACGCUGAGGCGCGAAAGCUAGGGGAGCAAACGGG